rnacentral:lncRNA from 1 species
GUUUGCAUUUCACAAUUUUUGAGUUAGCAUUUCGUUUAAAGUAAGACUAAGCCUUGCACGACAGAGGUUGCACAUUAUAUGUAGGUUUACACAAUAUUAGAUCAGAAACGAAAUAAUGAAGCAAAUCGUAAAAUUUAAUCGCAUUACUGAUUUAGAGUUACUGUUAAAAAAACAUGUAUACUAAUUAUGAUUUUUUAAGAUCCUGCCCCGAGCUGUGAAACAAGUUCUAAUUAAUUUUAUGUUUAUAUGAUUAACAAUAGCAAUCAAUUUACUGAACAAUUGAUCUGUCAAAUUAAUUACCACGACGACAAUUUUUAAAUAAAACCUAACUAUUUAAUGAUUUCAAUACAAAUUUAUAUCAAAUCUAUCAAAAUUGAAAAAAAGUCCGGUUAACCGGUUAUCGUUUUUAGUAUUCGGUAUUCGGUCGUUCGACCGGUUAACCGGUUAACCG